AGUGAACGCUGGCGGUAGGCCUAACACAUGCAAGUCGAACGGCAGCACAGUAAGAGCUUGCUCUUACGGGUGGCGAGUGGCGGACGGGUGAGGAAUACAUCGGAAUCUACUUUUUCGUGGGGGAUAACGUAGGGAAACUUACGCUAAUACCGCAUACGACCUACGGGUGAAAGCAGGGGAUCUUCGGACCUUGCGCGAUUGAAUGAGCCGAUGUCGGAUUAGCUAGUUGGCGGGGUAAAGGCCCACCAAGGCGACGAUCCGUAGCUGGUCUGAGAGGAUGAUCAGCGACACUGGGACUGGGACACGGUCCAGACUCCUACGGGAGGCACCAGUGGGGAAUAUUGGACAAUGGGCGCAAGCCUGAUCCAGCCAUACCGCGUGGGUGAAGAAGGCCUUCGGGUUGUAAAGCCCUUUUGUUGGGAAAGAAAAGCAGCAGGUUAAUACCCCGCUGUUCUGACGGUACCCAAAGAAUAAGCACCGGCUAACUUCGUG
rnacentral:rRNA from 1 species